AUUCCUAGACACAAAUAUCCCCCUUGAACCCACACUCAACUUCCCAGGAGGAAAUUGGGACUCUCCAAACAAUCACGGGCUGCCUUUGAAGAGGGAUCCACCUGGCUCCUUGGAUGUGUGCUCCAUAUUCUCAGGGGCACGAUGUUCACCCCCAUCCCCGAGAAGGGACAAAGUACGCCGAGAAGAGAUACUAUUCCGUUUCUAACGCAGGGUGGGUUAAAGAGUGAUCGAUGGCGACUGCCAACGCAUUCUUUCAGGCCGCCUUGCAGACAAGAUGCAGCUGGUGGUGCCGGGAGCCUCGUGCUGGUUGCAGAGAGCUAAGCCCGCACCCCUCAUUUCCACCUGGGGUGGCUGCUGAUCCAACAGCACACGGCUCACCGGGUUGGACAGGGAAGCUUCCUACCCAGUCACGUAGAAGAAUAUUAAACGUUUUCACAACGUGUCCACACAUGUUUUGCUUCUCCAAGAGAUGACAGCUCCGACUUCAGAAACCGUGGUGACCUUAUUUUGUGACUUUGUGUUCUCUUUGCUGAGCCCAUGACCCACUUGCAAAGCAAAGGUGCAAAUUGCCAAGUGAACAUCCCCAGCAGCGGUUCCUUUUCUGUUUUUCACUCUGCUGGAAAUCUGUUGAAAUAAAGAGUGUCAACACAGCACCUCUCAUUGACUUUGCUUCCGCAUUCAGUGCGGGCUAACUGGAUUGAACUGGACAGCGUUCUAUUCAUUGGAAAUCAUUAGGCAGUUCAAGAGGGAAGAAAACGGAAGAGAAAAGAAAACACAUCGCCCCAUCACAAAAAUAACUUGAGAAUCGUGCAGUCUGCCAGCAUAUUGGAUAUUUGUGUUGAACUUGCUUUCAGUACUCGGCUAAAUUUACCACACCCUACCUCCAAAGCCCUUGCUCCCUUCCUUUUGAAUAGCAAAGGAAUGAGAACUAGAAAAGCUUUUGUGUCUUUGGCAAAGUUGAAUGUCACUGUUUCCACUAAAUCCUGUAAAGAUGGAGCCACCUGGUCUCAAGUUUCCUCCUGAGAACACGCGCUUCCCCACUGAACACAAGGCGCAGGGGUCCAGAGAACUUUCAGUGCGGGAGACUUUUACUGACGGUCCGCUAGCUGUCACACACUUUUCUUGCGUCUUCAUGUCUUGUUGCACACAGCUCUGUCCGGCUGACAUCCACUUGGCUCCGCUGGGAAGAAGCCACGGCACAGGGAAGGGAGUGGCCGGCCAGGCUGCCCAGCUGGCCCACUGUGCUGAAGGUCUCUGAUGUGUCAGAUUGUCCCUCCUCUGGGUCUCUGAUGACCAUUCUCAGAGACACCAUGCACUAGUGAAAGCCUACGUGAAUCUGCAAAUCGCCCCGGGCCACGUGGUCUCCACCUCUCUCACCUGGCUUGUUUUUCUGCGUGAUUCCUCUGACAUUUGUCCACACUUGCCUCUCUAUGGACCGACCUCCUCUUUCCCAUGAGGACAGGGAACCUGUUUUAUGCACUGCUGUCUCUCCAGAACCUGGACGAAUGCCUGAUGAGUCCUGGAGGCUUGAUCCUAUCUGCCAACUGCAAGAGUGAAUGAGCCCGGUCAGUCGACGUCAGCGUACAGGGAGGGGGAGGGCAAGUGGCCAGGCUGUCCACUUGGCCCCUCGCAGCCCCGCCCAGCGCUCCCAGGCCUCCAGAUGCAGAAUCCAUGGAUACGGAGGCCAGCUGGAGUGACCACCAAAGGUUUCCUGCAGAUAAAAUGUUCAGAUAAUCGUUUCUCUUUGAGAAGCACUUUUGAUGUGUUAGAGAUGGCUCCCAAAACUUCCCAUUGCUUUACGGAGAACUUUCUGGGUAGGAUUUUAGCUGCCAUGUUUCAAUGAGGUUCGGACCAAAACACCUGCAGAGGAUGGAGUGGUGGGAAGACUUCAGAAGGUUCCACAUCAUUGAGCAGCUCGGGUAUUCAGCUGCAAAAGGAAUGGAGAAAAUCAGAGCAAAGGGCGUCACCCUCUGAGGCUGUUCUGACAAUAAGGUCUGCUUUCUUCACCAUAAUCAAGACAAGACAUGGCUUGUGCCUUCCUAAGAAUGCCUGGCUCCAGCACCAAGCCAGGCACCCAGCUCUCCUGGGCCUGCUGGAGUCCCAACAGGUUUCCCCCCUCCCAGAGGCAUCCAGGAUUGACACACAUCUUAUGACUUGAGGCCCUGGGCUCAUCCUUUGUUAAAACAUCCUUUGCUUCCUCCUUGACAACAACAGAUACAACAAAUACGAAGACCAGUGAAGGUGCCCUUGCAAGUCACUGAGGAGUUAGGGAGUCCCAGUGUUAGAUGGUAGCUAGCAAUGAGCAACUGGACCUGCAGGCGAGGUCACAGGUGUCCUUUAAAUUACUUUAGAGUCUUCUUUAAACUACUUCCAAAGUAAACAAGGAAGCAAAGUGUGAUAGUCAAUUUGUGGAAAAGAAACAGAAGCAAAAAGAGCUAAUUGGGAGAUAAGUCAAGAGAAAGGAUUCAUGGGACUAACUCUUGACAGGGUCCACUGGUGUUGAUGUGAAGCUGGGAAUUAUGGCUAUAGGUGUCUCCAUUUGUCUGGGGAGGAAGAAUCCUUCUCUCUCUCUCUCUCUGUCUCUCUGUCUCUCUCUCUCUCUGCUGGAACCUCUUGCAGCUAGGCACAGUCUACCACUGGGCUCCAUCCCCAGCCCCUCUCUUCAUUCCUGUAUCUCCAGCUUACAGCGUGGCGCUGGGCACACAGAGGUCUGAUAAAUAUUGGUUGGAUGAAUGAAGGAAUAAAUGAAUGAAUGAAAUUUUAAGAAUGAUCUUUGGCAACAGGUAGGUCUGCAACUUCAAGAGAUGCACAGGACCUCUCCAAGCCUCAGGAGUCCAGCCCGGGGGUGUAAAACGAGGAUGAGGACAAUACUGCCCUCAAGGUUGUUUUCAGACAUGAGAUGAGAGCCAACCCGACACUCGGACACACUUGGCAUCCGGCUCGCGGUACAAGCUCAAUGCAGCGGCGGUCUUAUUUCAGUCUCUCAUCUAUCUUCCUGGAUCACAAAGUCAGGAUCCAAACAGAAGGAACUUCUAUCUUUUAUGUGUCUAGCGCACUGCAGUCUGGUAUUACAUAAUUAUUUGCUUUUAGUUUCUGUAGGCAUAUGCUUCGUGAUGAAAAGUGGGAUUAAGCUGUUAGGUAGAACUGGACGUAGGCAACACCAUUUUGAAACAUGUCCUUCAUCUUGGGAAAGAGUCACCUCACCGUCACUGAGUCAGCCUGACUCAACCCUAGGCAUACGGCCUCACUCUGCAAAGAAACCCCAAACUCUCCAUCCAAAUUGUAGAAAGGAAAUUGUUAUCUGGGACUGAGGUCAUAAAAACACCUAGUUCCUUAUGAAGGUGACACUCUUAGGUCCUUAAGCCAAGGCAACUCCAUUUUGAAAAUCAGCGCCCGGCCACCCAGGCAUGCCCUUCCUGUUAGGACCCCAAAAGCGUCCCUAACUCCAGAAACCAUAGCAAAAUCUCACAGGACCAGACAGGUUCUUUUUAACCACUCCAUUGUACUUGACUGUAUAGGUGAGAAGUUUCUCCCAGCAGGCGCUGCACCCCGCAGAAGGGCAGUCUGGCCAGCAUUCUCUGACAAUAAACCUUUGCUUGAACUCA